rnacentral:rRNA from 1 species
AUUGAACGCUGGCGGCAGGCCUAACACAUGCAAGUCGAACGAGUGGCGGACGGGUGAGUAAUGUCUGGGAAACUGCCCGCUGGAGGGGGAUAACUACUGGAAACGGUAGCUAAUACCGCAUACCAUCGGAUGUGCCCAGAGGGGAUUAGCUGGUAGGUGGGGUAACGGCUCACCUAGGCGACGAUCCCUAGCUGGUCUGGGAGGAGGACCGGCCACACUGGAACUGAGACACGGUCCAGAUUCCUACGGGAGGCAGCAGAGGGGAAUAUUGCACAAUGGGCGCAAGCCUGAUGCAGCCAGGCCGCGUGUAUGGAGAAGGCCUUGGGGUUGUAAAGUACUUUCAGCGGGGAGGCGUUACCCGCAGAAGAAGCACCGGCUAACUCCGUGCCAGCAGCCGCGGUAAUAC